AACUGGACUCUCAGCUCAUUCCACUUUGCAUCUCCUGCUCAGUCUGGUUUCAGCUCCACAGAACAAGAUGCUGCUGCAACAGGUGAUUUUGUAAAAGCUGGCUGAAAGAAAGCACUAUUGGUGCAGUUGCAUCAUCAACCAGAAGAGGAGUCUCCUCAGUGGGUUAUAAGUCUCUGCUUAUCAGGAUUAUCCUUCCAGUCAAUCAAGUUUACAGUCUCCAAGACACUGUCCCCUUGCUUUUCCUUACCUACUCAAUCCGAUCACUUGAUCACCAUAACAGAUAUAAUAAUAAUAAAAAGUUUGAAAUACUAUGAAAAUUACCGAAAUGUGCC